UAGCUCAGUAACACGUGGAGAACGUGCCCUUAAGUGGGGGAUAAUCUCGGGAAAUUGAGGAUAAUACCCCAUAGGUCAUGGGAUCUGGAAUGACCCAUGGCUGAAAGUUCCGGCGCUUAAGGAUCGCUCUGCGGCCUAUCAGGUAGUAGUGGUUUUUACGUACCCCCUAGCCUACGACGGGUAUGGGCCUUGAGAGAGGGAGCCCAGAGUUGGAUUCUGAUUCACGACACCAUUCCCUACGGGGCGCAGCAGUUGUGAAAACUUCACACUGGGGGGAACCCCGAUGAGGGAAUUCCUAGUGCUUGGGCAUUUGUCCAAGCUUUUCCCGAGCGUAGAUAACUCGGGGAAUAAGGGCUGGGUAAGACGGGUGCCAGCCGCCGCGGUAAUACCUGCAGCCCGAGUGGUGGUCGAUUUUAUUGAGUCUAAAGCGUUCGUAGCCGGUCCGUUAAAUCCUUGGGUAAAUCGGGAAGCUCAACUUUCCGACUUCCGAGGAGACUGGCGGACUUGGGACCGGGAGAGGCAGAGGUACUUCUGGGGUAGGGUAAAUCUGUAUCUAAAAGACCACGGUGCAAGGUCUCGUUGACGAUCCACGGUAGAGGACACCUGGGUGUCAAAGGAAUAUACCCUGUUACCGGGUACACACACACUUUGUGUGGCCCACGGCUCUCCGAGAUUUCUGACCGAUAUGAGAGCACACGAGGGUUUGAUCUACAGCGAAAUAAUGUAUG
rnacentral:rRNA from 1 species